GAUUUGAUUCACAACUUGGAAAAUCACAGAGCAACAAUAUUUUUGUGAAUACAAAUUCCUCAUGUUUAAAGUAAUCAAAUACCUGAUUGGUCAAAAGCUUCUCAAUCACCAUUUGUCAGCAUUGCCUGCAAUUUUCAUAUUUUUAUGCAAUCAGGUGGUGUUUUUUUUUUUUUUUUUUCUUUUUUGUUUUUUCUUUUGUAUGCCAUAGGUUGCAUUGUUGGACAAGGGGCUAUGAUAUUGACGUUUUCAAACUUUAUAUAUUGACAAAUUCAGUCUUUGCAUAAUCUAUAUAACACAAUGAAUUCACAAUUAGCAGGGGCUGAGCAACUCUCUGAUUACCUCUUAAAACAGAUGGAUGUGCUUAAUAUAGAGCAUCAUUGGAAUGUGAAACGGGUUUAUCUAGUGUCAAUUGUAGAGGAAUCAUUCUAUCCUCUUCUUCUUCUUCUUCUUUUUUGGGUUAGUUUCAGUCUUCUAUGAUUACUUUGUCGACUCUAUGAAUGGUUCAUUGCUUUCCGUAUUCUAUCGUUUCCACAUGCUUCUCUCUUAGUAGUUAGUUACUUGGAGUUCUGCAACAAUUUACUUUUUGUGGACAAGUAUAGUAGUAGGGAGUACUAUGUUAAAAUGCUCUAGGCCAUGGUCAAAUAAUUUCUUAUGUUAUUUGUAUUCUUUACUUCUCACAGUUAUGCAUGACUUGCGACUAAUUCACACAGAUCUGAAGUCGGAAAAUAUUCUUCUUGUUUUUGUAGAAUAUGUGAAGAAGGCUUCCUUCUACAAAUGUUCAAUCACUUGACAUAAAUGCACUGUAGUUCUAGAAAUGAGAAGGUAUUCCAUUCAUAUGAGUUUUUAGACCAUUUCCACCUUUUUGUCUAGAGAAUUCCACACUUGGAUGCUCAAACUACAUUUUUCUAUUGUUCUUAUUUUAACACAUUUGUGACUGCCAUUUUCAGAAAGCCUGCAUUUGGUAGUUUUCUAUGCUGAAGUUGGGCUAAAAGGCUUUCUUCACAUCAUAAUUUGUUGCAACUUGUUGACAGAUGUGUGAAGUCGUGCGGGAUGUUGCAAACUGUUUCCCAACAGCAAUAAUUAGUGGAAGAUGACGUGAUAAGGUACUGGAGCAAUUAGCUACUUUGCAUGGAAAAUGAUCCAAUUUCGGACCUGUUUAUCUAAGUUAUCGUGCAUUGCAUUUCCAUACACUUGGCAUGCAUGUACUGUUCAUCUGCUAGGCAUUGUCACGGAUGGCACAUGGCCCAAAUAUGCUAGUCAGUGCAUCAUAGCUGCCGAGUGGACUUUUGGGAUUACAAAUGUUCUGAAGACGGGUAUUGAUGCUGCCAAGUUCCUUGCAUAUUAAGAUAAGUUUACCAAAUUCAUUCUGUAAAUCAAAGCUUAAACACUCUGUAACUGAAUGUUCAAACUCAGAGUUGUUGGAUGGUUGUAAUGAAUUCUCUAUAUCUUGGAUCCCCAUUCGCAUUGAGUUUGUGUUAGCAUUAUCAUCUAUUUUGAAGUCCCUAGGCUAUUUUGACCCCUUUCCAUCUUGGUCACAUUCUUUUUUUUUUUUUUUUUUGGCUGACGUAUAUGUGGGGGCUAAUCCCUUCACUCUCAGUCUCUCAUACAAACUCUGCUAUUUGUAAUUGGCAUAUGGUGGUAUCAAUGGUUGCAGGACAAACUGUACAACUGCCCCAUUGUUCGAGGCAUUUGGAGGAGUGCCCUUUCAGUCAGGUCCAUAUGAGUCCAUCUAAAAAAAAUAAAAUAGGGGCAUGCAUUGGGUACAUCGCCGGUAUCAGUCAAAUACAUCCAAUACAACAUGGA